UGGCAUUUAUCUGAAUCGCAUUGCUCUCCCAAAUGGAGCUUAAGUUGAUGUGUUGCUCAGACCAACUUUUUUGGCACUAUAUAUAUUCAUAUGCUUCUCAUAAGUAGCACAUAGUUCAAUGAGUUUCAGAUGUUAACAGGCACUUGAAACUAAUAUUUCUACCAUCUUAAUGUACUUAUUCACUUGCACUUUGUUGUAGAGGUUUUUAUGUUUCAGGAUAUAUGAAUUUUUUUAACUUGCUCAUGGCUGUUUACAAGGAGUUUAGGUUGAUGGGAGGGUAUUUGACGGAUGGCAGCAAGCAAGAUUUUGGAGUGGACA